rnacentral:rRNA from 1 species
GACGAACGCUGGCGGCGUGCCUAAUACAUGCAAGUAGAACGCAGUUGCGAACGGGUGAGUAACGCGUAGGUAACUGCCUGGUAGCGGGGGAUAACUAUUGGAAACGAUAGCUAAUACCGCAUACUACCAGAUGGACCUGCGUUGUAUUAGCUAGUUGGUGAGGUAACGGCUCACCAAGGCAACGAUACAUAGCCGGCCUGGGGGGGUGGGUGGCCAACCCGGGAACGAGACACGGCCCAGACUCCUUCGGGAGGCAGCAGUAGGGAAUCUUCGGCAAUGGGGGGAAACCUGAACGGGCAACGCCGCGUGAGUGAAGAAGGUUUUCGGAUCUUAAAGCUCUGUUGUUAAGGAAGCGGUACUUAACCAGAAAGGGACGGCUAACUACGUGCCAGCAGCCGCGGUAAUUC